GAAGCGCGCCAGACCGCCGCUGGUGCAAUCUGGGAAACCAGGCACUGGAGGAACGUCCGGACUGCACAGGACAGCGUAGCAGCUAACGGCUGCCCACCGUGAGGUGAGGAUCAGAGCAACAGAGACGAGUCGGGAGUGCCGCAAGGCAGACCACUGGGGGUGAAACGGGCAAUCUCUACGCGCAGCAAUACCAAGUAGGCCAGCGUUGAUGUGGUUCCGCAGAGCUGGCGGGUAGGUAGCAUCGAGCCGGGUGGGCGACCCCCGGCCCAGAGUAAUGGCGGUCACGCUGCGGGCAACCGCAGUGCACAGAAUCCGGCUUAUCGGCGCGCUUCACAC
rnacentral:RNase_P_RNA from 1 species